GCAAAAACCGUGAACGAAUAAAACCUGUGCAGAGCCCGAUACAGAGAGUUCCCGUGUGGUGUGAGGGGAUGAAGGCGUACAGUGACCUACAUUCGGGAGUUGCCGCAUUGAAUCCAGUAGGUGCGGCCGGGUGUGCCCGUUACAGCUUUUCGAGGCUGAGCUCCGCUCGGCAAAUCGGGGUGGUACCGCGAGUAACUUCGCCCCCGGA
rnacentral:ncRNA from 1 species